UCCUUGGUGGCCCAGUGGUUAAGACUUGGCACUUUCACUGCCAAGGGCACAGGUUCAAUCCCUGGUCAGGGAA
rnacentral:tRNA from 1 species